rnacentral:lncRNA from 1 species
AUGUACCCGCAAGCACCCCUGCAAUCACCACAUGCCCCUGCUCCCUUGCACACACCCACCUGCCCCAUUGCACUCACCCAACAGUCCUCCUGCAGGUACCCAACUGCCUUCAUUCCCCCUGAAGGCACCCACCUUCCCCCUGCAUGCAACCACCUGCCUCCCCUGGCCUUCUGUAAACACCCCUCCGCAAGCACACAACCACUCCUGCGCAUAUCCACCAGCCCCAAUACACCCACCCAUGCGCCCCCUGCAUGCACUCAGGAGCCCCACUGCAAUCACCCACCUGUCCCCUGCCCCAGUGCACAUACUCACUCCCUUGCAUGCACCCACCUGCCCCCCUGUACUCAUCAACCUGCUUCCCGGCAUGCACCCACAAGCCUCCCCUGCCCCACUGCACACAUGCACCUGCCCCCCUACAUACACCCACCUGGCCCCCUGUAUGCACCCACCUACCCCCCUGGCCUCUGCACCACUCACCCUCCCCCUGCCUAUCUUCAUGCACCCACCUGCCCACCUGCAGCUACCCUCCUGACCCUCUGCAUGCACCACCUGUCCCCCUGCAUGCACUCACCCACCUUAACUUUCUGUGCACUCACCCACCUGCCCCCCUUGCAUGCUCUCACCUGUCUCCCUGACCCCUGCACCCACAUGCCUGCCCCUUUGCAUGAAUCUACCUUCCCCCUUGCCCCCCUGCAUGCACCCAUGAGCUCCUUGCACGCAGCCACCUGCCCCCCUGCAUGCACUCACCCACCUGCCCCCCUGCAUGCACCCAUGAGCUCCUUGCACGCAGCCACCUGCCCCCCUGCCCCUGGCAAGCACCCAUGGGCACCCUUGCACACACCUACAUGCACUUCUCCAUGCACCCACAGACCUUCACUCUCCCUGCACAUACCCACUGGCCCCCCUGCACGCACCCUCCUGCCUCCGAGGUACGUGCACCCACUGGCCCCCUGCCCACACUCAGUUGCCCUCCUGCAUGCACCCAUCUGCCCCUCAGCAUGCACUCACCCUUUUUCAACACCCCUGCACACACCCAGGGGCCUCUGUCCCACAUCUUCCUCUGGGACCCCCUUGCCCUGGUUACAGGGUACUGCAGUUGGAGGGAAGAGACGAGGCUGA